CACCUCCUCAUCUCACAGGAACGGCCAGCCACCACCCUAGGGUGGCGGCGCAGGAGGGAGAAAGGAAAUUCCGGCGACCGGAAUUGAGCGGCGGUGAACUGCUAUGUGCUGGAUUUCCACAAUUGAUUUGUCGAACGCGCAAACCAAGAUCAUUUUGGAAGAUCUUUGUUUAGCACAACAAUGCUUGCUCAUCUCCUUUCUCCAUGGACCAUGCUUAACCAAGUCAAAACUCGGUGUCACCUUACUACCUGCAACAAACUGCGAAAGUAUGUUGAUACAAGUAGUAUGACUUUGAUAUGCAUCUCGAUUGGCUGUUGUGAGUCUAGUGAUAAACUACGCACUAGUGUCACAUUGGCGAAGUCAUUUUUGUAAAUAUUAUGCUUUUUUUAUCAAGAUCGAAAUCAAGUCAUAUAUCAUAAAGAGGAAAUGUUAGUAAUUAAGCUAAGUGUUGCUUUUGCAACUUUACUUGAAUAAAGCAUCUUUUAUGGAAUCCCAUGUGUGAUUGUGCUAA